rnacentral:SRP_RNA from 1 species
GCUGGGCGUGGUGGCGCACACCUGUAAUCCCAGCUCCUUGGGAGGCUGAGGCUGGAGAAUCGCUUGAACCUGGGAGGCAUAGGUUGCAGUGAGCCAAGAUUGUGCCACUGCACUCUAACCUGGGUGACAGAGUGAGAUUCCAUCUCAA